GGAGGUUUUUUUCCCUCUCUCUCGCCCUCUCUUUCUCCUUUUUUUUUUCCUUCUCUCUCUCCGAGUUCUGCUCGCCGGGUGGAGGGACGAAACUGAGAAAGUGCUGGCCUCUAGUGGGGAACUCACUCUCACCGACAAGGAGGAGAUGGGAGAAGGGAGGGAAGUGACGUGCAAAGGGGGAAAAAGCCUAGCUUUGCAAGAAUUGUGAAGGAAGAGAAGGCCCUUAACCCUAGAGGUGUUAGCAUCAUUGGAAUGUAUCUAUUUACAAGUAACCGGGUCAUAAAACCUUCCUGUGAGAGGUACCCUGGGCCGAAAGGAGCAUCCGUAUCUCUGAAGACAAAGGACACCAAGAAGAAUCCUCACAAACAGGCCUUGCUAAAUUUCUCCCAAUGUAUAACAUGUACCACAUACUCAUUAUAUAUUCCUCUACAACUGUUCAGUCUUUAUCAAACCUUGCAUAAAAACACACCAUUCUAUUUCUUUGGAUCUUCACUUUCUGAUGAAGGCUCCCAUGUCACAUCAAAAUUAUACUAAAAAUAAAUUUUGUUGGAAUAAA